UGAAAUAUUGAUGAAAGUAAAUGUUUAUUAUCCGGAGAGAAUUUCCUCUCAGUUGUAUUAACCUAGCUAUCGGCAUGAGAAAGCUAGCCUACUGUAAGUGGAGAACUUUAUUUUAUCUUAUGGAUUUGCAGUAAACGUGCAUAAUUUUCAGAAGAGGAGUUAUAUUACAGAAACGACAAAUCAUCUUUUCAGAGUUGGAUGUAAUGAAAGUCAACUUUAAUGCUAGUUGUUCCGGACUACCCGAAAAGAUAGUUUUGGCAUGCGACUAUUUGAAAUGACG
rnacentral:lncRNA from 1 species